ensembl:lncRNA
GGCGCACCGAGCGUGCCCCAGCAGCUGACUGGCAGGACUUGUUUACUGGUGGAGACCCAUUAGAGACGAAAGGGGGGAACCUGAUGGGAGAGGUACCGCUUCAACGGGAAUAGAAGUUUCCUCAUUGGCCGUCUUUUUAGGCUUAUACCUUUGUUUACCUCAUCCUUGGACUGUCGGAGACGGUACAUUUACUUUAACUAUAUCGUCAGCACAGAGACCACGUUUGCUGUUAGCUAGCUGCUUCCCCCCCCCCCAGCUAAUCUGAAAAAGACGGGCGGCGUGGUGUCGACUUUUCUCACUUUCCGACACACUGCCGCUUAUUAUUUUUAAUAGUUGAUCAGAUCGGCCGUGGUUCAUUAAACGAACAGGGUUUUUCCACCGCCGAGUCCCUUUUUGUGUGCGUUUCCCACCGGGUUGUCCAUCGGUCCGCGCCGGCGUGGUCAGCGGGGUGAAGGAGUUCAGAGGAAGGUCGUCGGGGAAGCGAUCCCCCGGCAGCACGUUUCCCUGCACGUACUCCAACACCACCUCGGUGAUGUGGACACAUCGGCGGGUUCGCAUCUUGGAAAGGUGAGCUCCAGCGAGAAAAAACAGGACGGGACACUACAGCAAAUACGUGAGAUACACGAGAGACCUGUGGACUUAAAAAAAACAACAACAACUUAACAACAGUCAACGCUGGUUUCUAAUUUGGUGUUAUUACUAACUUACGACCCAAAACACUGGGCUUCGUUGAAGUGAGAUCGUGCUCCUUACUACAACUCACCGCUUUUGGACUUGGCGUUUUUACUGUUCGUUUGGAGAAAGUAGUUGACUGGAGCAGGGCAUACUUGCCAUGGAGUGAACCCGUGUCGAACGGCUCGCCGUCGGGUAUUCCUCGCAGAUCUCCUCGGUGAACUGGACCUGUUUUCCUGGAUCCUCCGGUACGCUGUGAUAAACAGAUGAAAGACAACUACAUUGUGCGCUUAUGGAACAUGAAGCUUUUUAUCCGCACUUGUUUCGCCAGAACCCAAGACCACGUUAUUUAAGUGGUCGGACUUUUGUAAGGGUCUCAUCAAACUCCCAUCGUUUUAAAUCAUAAUACAACCACGUUGGACCCCGGCCCCUUUAGGGGGGGGCAACACCAUCUUUUUUUGCCAGUGUAUUAAAACACAUUUGGUUUUUUGUACGUUUUGUUAUUAUAACAUACCUAUUAUAAAAGGACGUUUUUUCUUUAGUCGUCGAUUUUUUAUGAACUUAUGCAAGAGGAAAUCACCUGGAAAGGCAACAUGGGAUGCUGGACGUUUAAACCGCAAACACCAAGUGUGUUUAUUGUAGUGUGCAUCUGCAUUGCAUGCCAGGCUGGACUAUUGAAUGGCGAAAUGGCGAUGUUCUAAAAUAAGCCGGUGCCAACCACGAUGGCCGUAAGCCUGACCAACCCCGACCCAGCGCGGGCCAACCUGGGCCGUAUGGCGGAGCACCCAAGUCAGCCAGCCACUGAAUCAUGCUUUAAUUCUCUGAAGUACGCUCCUAUGACUCCACUACUACUACUGCUACUACUACUACUACUGCUACUGCUGCUUCUACUACUGCUACUACUACUACUACUGCUACUGCUGCUUCUACUACUGCUACUACUACUACUACUGCUACUGCUGCUGCUACUACUACUACUACUACUGCUACUGCUGCUACCACCACUACUACUACUAC